rnacentral:rRNA from 1 species
UGAGGAAUAUUGGUCAAUGGGCGCAAGCCUGAACCAGCCAUCCCGCGUGCAGGAAGACGGCCCUAUGGGUUGUAAACUGCUUUUCCAGGGAGAGAAACUUGCGUACGCGUUGCGCAAUUGACGGUACCCUGGGAAUAAGCAUCGGCUCACUCCGUGCCAGCAGCCGCGGUAAUACGGAGGAUGCGCGCGUUAUCCGGAUUCAUUGGGUUUAAAGGGUGCGUAGGCGGACUAUUAAGUCAGUGGUGAAAUCCUGCAGCUUAACUGCAGAACUGCAAUUGAUACUGAUAGCCUUGAGUUUGGUUAAGGUAGGCGGAAUGUGUAAUGUAGCGGUGAAAUGCUUAGAUAUUACACAGAACACCAAUUGCGAAGGCAGCUUACUGGGCCGACACUGACGCUGAGGCACGAAAGCGUGGGGAUCGAACA